rnacentral:rRNA from 1 species
UACGGAGGGUGCGAGCGUUGUUCGGAAUCACUGGGCGUAAAGGGCGUGUAGGCGGUCUGCUAAGUCUGAUGUGAAAGCCCGGGGCUCACCCCCGGAAGGGCAUUGGAAACUGGCGGACUCGAGUCCCGGAGAGGAGGGUGGAAUUCCUGGUGUAGCGGUGAAAUGCGUAGAUAUCAGGAGGAACACCAAUGGCGAAGGCAGCUCGCUGGGACGUGACUGACGCUGAGACGCGAAAGCGUGGGGAGCAAACAGG